rnacentral:rRNA from 1 species
UACGUAGGGUGCAAGCGUUGUCCGGAAUUAUUGGGCGUAAAGAGCUCGUAGGCGGUUUGUCGCGUCGAAUGUGAAAACUCGGGGCUUAACCCCGAGCCUGCAGUGGAUACGGGCAGACUAGAGGUAGGUAGGGGAGAAUGGAAUCCUGGUGUAGCAGUGAAAUGCGUAGAUAUCAGGAGGAAUACCGAUGGCGAAGGCAGGUCUCUGGGCUAUAACUGACGCUCAUGCACGAAAGCGUGGGGAGCAAACAGG